rnacentral:lncRNA from 13 species
GUGCUGGGGGACCAUAGAAUUAAUUCAUUCUAUUUCUAUGUGGGAGACAGCUACAAUGCAGACAAUUAAGUGACAAUAGGAUAACAACAGCCUAACAAUUGAGAAUAUGCUGAAUGGUCACAAAAACUAAAGGUGACCUUCAUACUUUUGGUAGAGAUUAAAUAAGCCCAGUGAUAGUUACAUAAUAAUAAUUGUAUUAGUUAUUUAAAAAAGGUCUAAAAUGGUCAUAACAAUUGCACUUUAUUAUUUAAUGAUCCGUUUUUGUUUUCAAUUAUGUUUUUAAAGGAAGUGAAAACAGCGCAAUCAAAAUCAGAGGAUUCAGAACAGGAGAUAGAAGAUAAUAUUAGCCCUGUACAAACAGGUCAUGGAGAGACUACGGGCAGUGUAUUUAGAUUUAUCACAUUUGACUUGCCUUGGCUUGUGAGAUUGAAAAAUAGCCUCUCAGAGCAUUUGAGAAAAUGUUAAGUGUUGAGCUUUCUGUUAUUAAGGUUGUAUAAUGUUUGUAUGAUAGUUAAGAUGUCUGUUAUGCUGCUUUUCCAGAGUACUCCUCAGAUAACCCACAACAUCCUCUGUGGAAUCGUAGGACAAGAGGGAGACACCAACCCCUCCAAGACCUGUUGAGUUCCCUAAAGUCACAACAGGUCUACAAGAUGGCUGGCUCACUGUCUGAGAUAAUCAGGGGUAUACAAGAUGGCCGACUCACUGAGAGAGAGUCAGGGGUCUACAAGAUGGGCGACUCACUGUCAGAGUGACAGACCGACAACAACAACUGCUCUAUGACCUCUGCUCUCCCACAGAAGUGCAGAUGAAUACAAUACCAUUCACCAUCUUUGUACAACCGCAGUCAGCCAGGCCCUGCCUCUGGAGCUGACUUCCCUGGUCUGUCACACCUCCAGCCAACUCACUGCACCACCACUGUUUCACCAACAGAGGGUAGCACUACAACACAUUGCUACCCAGCCUGACAGACACAGUAUAGGUAAUGAAGGCGUGCCCUGUGUGGAUGUGACUGAGUCUGAUGUAAAGGACUGUGGGACCCCUCCCCUGGACUCAGCCAGCCUGGCUGACUGGCAAAAGAUCACUGGAUAUUACGUAGAGAAGCCCAGGAUGAUGCUUCAUGGACAGGCGGGGGAGGAGAAUGUUAAUGCACCUAAAUUAAUUCAACUUUUUUCUCAAAAUAAUUAUCCACUAGGUGGCACCAAAUACAUUUGCAACUCAUUAGAUUCAGCAGGUUGCUUGAAAGAUGCUGCUAUAACGUAAGGCACAAUUAUACAUUCACUGAACACUAACUACUCAGUGUUGAAUGUCUCAAUAUAUUGUUUUGCUUGUUUUAAAGGAGUAAUUUAAUUGGUUUAAAUUAGUUCCCUCAACUUCCCUGUCCUAAAGUGUGUUUCUCAUCUGUGUUCCAACGAGCUGAAGAUAUUCUGGCACCCAGUGCCUCCCAAGUUCAGCUGCUUUCAUGCCUUCGUCAAACACAAACUCUUUCCAGGUAGUGUAGUACUGAGCNNNNNNNNNNCCACUAGGUGGCACCAAAUACAUUUGCAACUCAUUAGAUUCAGCAGGUUGCUUGAAAGAUGCUGCUAUAACGUAAGGCACAAUUAUACAUUCACUGAACACUAACUACUCAGUGUUGAAUGUCUCAAUAUAUUGUUUUGCUUGUUUUAAAGGAGUAAUUUAAUUGGUUUAAAUUAGUUCCCUCAACUUCCCUGUCCUAAAGUGUGUUUCUCAUCUGUGUUCCAACGAGCUGAAGAUAUUCUGGCACCCAGUGCCUCCCAAGUUCAGCUGCUUUCAUGCCUUCGUCAAACACA